GGUUUUCCUUCUAGUCAUUUUGCUCAGUGCAGAGUGGCCAAAAGCAAGUUGUAUUGGGAAAAAGAGAAAAAGAGAGGAGAGAAAGAAGGAAAGAAAAGAGAAAGAGAAAAAAAGGGGAAGAGAAAAAAAAAACGAAAGAAAAAAAAAGAAGAAAAAGAGAAAGAAAAAGAAAGGAGAAAAAAAGGGGGGGUGGGGGAAGGAAACAAAUCAAAAAGCAAAACAAAACAAAACAAAAAAAAAAACAAAAAAACAAAACAAAACAAAACAAAAAACCAAAAAAAAAAAAAAAAAGAAAAAAAAAAAAAAGGGAACCACAGGGGAGUAUCUUCUGAUUCUGUGUUCUUUAAGUCUUUAAGUCCCUUGGCUUCUCCUGGAAGUUGUCCGUCUAGCUGGUGUUCUGGGGGAGGGGCCUGUUGUGCUGAUUCUCAGGUGUCAGCAGUUGGGGGAGCUGCUGUGCCCCUGCCUGGUGCAGGGCUCGGUGGGGGUUGUUUACCCCGUGAGGCCGCAGGAGGAACAGCCCCAGUGGCGGGGCAGCUCUGCAGCCCUGGAUUCAGCUCCGGCAGGAACUCCGUCUGCAGGGCCUGGAGGCUCCGGGCGGGGCCGCUGAUCUGCUCAGCUGGGGCAGGAGCGUCCUUGCUGUCCGGGGCCCUCCCGGCCUCUGCCUGUCCCGGGGGGAGGCUGGAUCCUGGGCUGUGUCCCGGCGCCCUGUGCUCCGGAGCCUGCGCUGUUGGAUUCGCGCUCCCGGGCCGCGCAGCCCCCUCCGCGGAGCCGCCGCCCGAGCCCCUCCGAGCUGCUCCUGGAACCGCGCAGCCCCCUCCGCACGGAGCCUCUUCCUCUGCCCGAGCCCGGCCGAGCUGCUCCCGGGGCCGCGCAGCCCCCUCCGCGGAGCCGCCGCCCGAGCCCCUCCGAGCUGCUCCGGGUCCCGCCGAGCGCGCUGCAGCCCUUAGGGAGCUCGGCGCACUCUCCUGGGCGCGCAGUUGCUGUUACUGUCCCGGGGAGCCCGAGGGCAUCUGCUCCCUCCUGUGUCCUGCUCCACCUCCCCGCGAGCCCCUUUCCGCCCGGGAAGGUCGGUGCAGCUCCUGCUCCUCCGGGACGGGGCUCUCCUGUCCUGGGGACACUCGCCCCGGCCUCAGCCCGGCUCCUCGCGGGGCCCCUCACCCUUGGAGGCCUUUGUUCCUUUAUUUCUUUUUCCCCGUCUUCCUACCUUGA
rnacentral:lncRNA from 1 species